UACAGAGGUGGCAAGCGUUGUUCGGAAUUACUGGGCGUAAAGGGCGCGUAGGCGGUUCCGCAAGUCCUGUGUGAAAUCCCCCCGGCUCAACUGGGGAACUGCACAGGAAACUGCGGGGCUUGAGUUCGGGAGAGGGAAGCGGAAUUCCGGGUGUAGCGGUGAAAUGCGUAGAUAUCCGGAGGAACACCGGUGGCGAAGGCGGCUUCCUGGACCGAUACUGACGCUGAGGCGCGAAAGCUAGGGGAGCAAACGGG
rnacentral:rRNA from 1 species